rnacentral:rRNA from 1 species
GACGAACGCUGGCGGCGUGCUUAACACAUGCAAGUCGAACGGAAAGGCCCUGCUUUUGUGGGGUGCUCGAGUGGCGAACGGGUGAGUAACACGUGAGUAACCUGCCCUUGACUUUGGGAUAACUUCAGGAAACUGGGGCUAAUACCGGAUAGGAGCUCCUGCUGCAUGGUGGGGGUUGGAAAGUUUCGGCGGUUGGGGAUGGACUCGCGGCUUCUCCGCUUGUUGGUGGGGUAGUGGCUGUCCAAGGUUUCGAAGGGUAGCCGGCCUGAGAGGGUGACCGGCCACAUUGGGACUGAGAUACGGCCCAGACGCCUACGGGAGGCAGCAGUGGGGAAUAUUGCACAAUGGGCGGAAGCCUGAUGCAGCAACGCCGCGUGCGGGAUGACGGCCUUCGGGUUGUAAACCGCUUUCGCCUGUGACGAAGCGUGAGUGACGGUAAUGGGUAAAGAAGCACCGGCUAACUACGUG